GACGAACGCUGGCGGCGUGCUUAACACAUGCAAGUCGAACGGAAAGGCCCCUUUGGGGGUACUCGAGUGGCGAACGGGUGAGUAACACGUGAGUAACCUGCCCUUGACUUCGGGAUAACUUCAGGAAACUGGGGCUAAUACCGGAUAGGAAUCCUUGCUGCAUGGUGGGGGUUGGAAAGCUUCGGCGGUUUUGGAUGGACUCGCGGCUUAUCAGCUUGUUGGUGGGGUAGUGGCUUACCAAGGCUUUGACGGGUAGCCGGCCUGAGAGGGCGACCGGCCACAUUGGGACUGAGAUACGGCACAGACUCCUACGGGAGGCAGCAGUGGGGAAUAUUGCACAAUGGGCGGAAGCCUGAUGCAGCAACGCCGCGUGCGGGAUGACGGCCUUCGGGUUGUAAACCGCUUUCAGCAGGGGCGAAGCUUGUGGUGACGGUACCUGCAGAAGAAGCACCGGCUAACUACGUG
rnacentral:rRNA from 1 species